GGAGACUGCCUACAUUUUUAUCUGGAGCUUCGCUACAUUUUUGGAAUAAUAAUAUGAGAUGAUAAUAAGAUGGACCAGACCUUCUCAAUGCGAAGAUGUGAGAUUGUGGAUGCAGAUGGAGCAGUAGCCAGCUCUUUUUACAGAGAGACCAGUGUUUGCAGAGUUUGACAGGAUAGUCACCACGGAUCUGCCGACUGCCGAGUAACUUUUAAGGUGCUGUGGAUCGCAACACACCACGUUUUGUCACAAGUCUUAAAGAAGCAUUGUAGAGAAAUUUGAUGAUCUUAUACAGCAAAUUUACGGGGUUUGUGAUGUUGAUGAAGACGACAUUGACGAAGAAGCCCACUUUGCCCACUGCCAUCAUUGUUGAGAGCUAUUGCAAUAAUCUGCA